rnacentral:rRNA from 1 species
AUCGAUGAAGAACGCAGCGAAAUGCGAUAAGUAAUGUGAAUUGCAGAAUUCAGUGAAUCAUCGAAUCUUUGAACGCACCUUGCGCCCUUUGGCUAUUCCGAAGGGCAUGCCUGUUUGAGUAUCAUGAACACCUCAACUCNUCAUGGUUUKCCAUGAUGAGCUUGGACUUUGGGGGUCUUGCUGGCCURUGGUCRGCUCCUCUCAAAUGRAUCAGCUUKCCAGUGUUUGGUGGCAUCMCAGGUGUGAUAACUAUCUACGCUUGUGGUUUUCCACCAGGUAACCYUCAGUGAUGGRGGUUCGCUGGGGCUCAUAAACGUCUCUCCUCAGCGAAGACAGCUUUKUGAACRUUUGAUCUCAAAUCAGGUAGGACUACCCGCUGAACUUAAGCAUAUCAAUAAGCGGAGGAAAAGAAACUAACAAGGAUUCCCCUAGUAACUGCGAGUGAAGCGGGAAGAGCUCAAAUUUAAAAUCUGGCGUGCCUCUGGUCGUCCGAGUUGUAGUCUGGAGAAGCGUYUUCCGUGUUGGACCGUGUAUAAGUCUCUUGGAACAGGGCGUCAUAGAGGGUGAGAAUCCCGUCUUUGACACGGACUACCAAUGCUUUGUGAUGCGCUCUCAAAGAGUCGAGUUGUUUGGGAAUGCAGCUCAAAAUGGGUGGUAAAUUCCAUCUAAAGCUAAAUAUAGGCGAGAGACCGAUAGCGAACAAGUACCGUGAGGGAAAGAUGAAAAGCACUUUGGAAAGAGAGUUAAACAGUACGUGAAAUUGCUGAAAGGGAAACGCUUGAAGUCAGUCACGUCUGCCAGGACUCAGCCUUGCUUCUGCUUGGUGUACUUUCUGGUUUGAUGGGCCAACAUCAAUUUUGACCGUUGGAGAAAGGCUUUGGGAAUGUGGCACCUUMGGGUGUGUUAUAGCCCAUUGUUGUAUACAACGGUUGGGAUUGAGGACUGCAGCACGCCUUCAUGGCCGGGGUUCGCCCACGUACGUGCUUAGGAUGUUGGCAUAAUGGCUUUAAGCGACCCGUCUUGAAACACGG